UUUAUAAAGCCAUCACAGCCGAUGACUUCGUCGACGGCUGUACUUUUUCCGUCAGGCAAUCUAGGCUUUAUUGUGAACUCUAAAGUGUGAUAAGGAAUUAACGGAGAUUGAAGACCAAGAUUAUCACUCCAGAGGCUAAGUUAGAGUAAAAAGGUCAAAGUGGUUGAUGAGUUUCCAGACGAAGACUAAACAAAUGAACAAGGGACAAGAUGAGUUCUAGAUGGAAUAUUUAGGUGGAAGGUAACAAAUGAUGCUUAAUCUUUACGUUGAUGGUGUAUGGAGUUGAUCCAUGAUUUACCAGACUCGUAUU
rnacentral:lncRNA from 1 species